UUCUGUAGCCGUAGCAACAGAAACUAAGCAUAGUGCACAUAGUUCAGUACUUGAAAGGGAGAUCACUAAGGAACAACUAGGUGCUGCAGAAA
ensembl:rRNA 5S_rRNA 5S ribosomal RNA